rnacentral:lncRNA from 1 species
GCCUCCCGCGCCUGCGCAGUGCGCGUCCACGCCUGUCCACUGACCCGACUCCGCGCUGCUCGCUGCAAGACGCUGGGAGCUCCUCCGUGUUUGUGUGAAGUCUCUCCUCUUCAGACCUGAUUGCGUCCUUCUGUCAAGAGACAGAGCACCCCAGGCCAGCGCAACCGACAGGGGUUUGUUACCCACAGCUCGGACCGACACCGCGCCGGAGUCAAGGGGGCCGCGGGGCCCAGAGUCCUGGCUUCAUCCCGGGACAGAGAAGUUCGGCUGGUCAGUGUGACCCGGGAGGCUGCGCUGCUGACCCAAGUGAGCUUCCUCCAGGGCCCCUGGGAGAAAGCCCAGGAAACAGGGUUUGCCAAGAACUGUCUGAAAGGCCAUAAAGAUUCUUCAAUCAAAUCUAUCGUGGACUUAACUUGGACACAUGUUCUUUGGCUAAAUUAGUUGGAGGUUCUUAUGAAUUAAUGUUGGAAGACGGCCUAAUACCAAUAUAAUAAAGACAUCCUUUCCAACAGUACCCUCCA